GAGAAGUGUAGUAUGUUGUGUGCACCGUAAUUACGUCCUCGCAACGGCAGUUAAAGUCCAGCACCUGGCUGAUGAGGGCGCAAGCUCUUACGGUGCGUUCAGCUUCAUGGACCAUCAGUCAGAGAGCCAGACCAUAAAUGAGCCGGGUGUGCUAUAAUGAGGGUUCCUCUGUGCAGUGCACAUCUACCAGACAGGGAUGCCCAGCCUCUCCAGUCAUCUUUACCUUAGCACUUGAGCCCCUUGCCUGUGCCAUCAGGGCUAAUCAGAACAUAACUGGUACAAAAUCAAUUGGACCAAGAAUGAGGCUAUCCCACUGAAUCGUCUUCCACACCCUGGCCAUCUGACCUCAGCCCCCAUUGUAUGGAGGUCUCAGGGCAUGAAAUACCUUGGAGUCACCAUUAAAUCACCAAUAGAUAGCAUCUUUGAGUUAAACCGUCCUAGGCUUCUGAAAACUAUCAGAGAUGGACAAAUUUACCGCUAUCACUGUGGGGGAGGGCAGAAGUACUUAAAAUGAAUGUAUUUCCAAGAUUAGCUUUUCUGUUCUCUUGCUUUUCUUCUGCAGUCCCACUGAAAUGUCCCCAGAACUGGUUCAAUGAAGUUAAAAAACUUUUUUCACUGUUCUUAUGGAAAGAUAAGGCACGGUAUGAGAUUGCUGCUUGUUCUCGCGAUAUUUCGGCCGCGCUUUGGAAAGCAGAGCUAAAUGGUAAACAAACAUGGCAGCACACCGGUAAGGUAAGACAACACGUUUACAUGUCGUUUUCUAUAUGUUCUCUGACAUUUAUCCUAACGAUAUGAGGCAGUCUUUGUGGAAAAAAAGCUUGUUUAGUGGACUAACUUUGCACUUGAAGUAUGCCCUUUCACUCAUGUUUUAAGAGGUCUGACGCUACUAUGCGCCUCGGCUGUAUCUAGGCUAACGGCUAACAUGCUAACUAUUAUUUUUAUGUCACUAGGCAUUUACCUAACAGUUUGACAACACCUCAUGUCAACUAUCGCUAACAAUUAAUAUGUCAAAGGGGUGGCGGCUUACUGGGUAAAGCACACGCUUCAGUGCCAAGAUUUUUGCCGCAGCUGUGCGGGUUCGACUCCGACCUGUGGCCCCCCGCUGCAUGCCACUCCCUCUGUCCCUCCCUCCCUCUUGCUUACCUGUCCUGUUAACUGUACUGUCAAUUAAAGGUUAAAAUGCCCCCAAAAAUAAUAAAAAAGAAUCCUUGCUAAUUUCAGCAGCUCUUUUUAAACACAUAUCGAUGGUUGAUGACUUACUUGAAAUUCAUUUGUAUUCUGUUGGGUGGCUUGGCACUUAAAUAGUCCGAGUUACAGCCAAAAGGAGGCAUAUUAGAUUCAUUUCCUCGUUACCUGCAUCCCCAAUGGGAUGACUGAGGAGAUUAUAUAUGUUUUUUUAUAAAGUGAAUAUGGAAACUGGCUGAAUAUAAAAGCAGCUUUGACAUCAGCAUUAACAUUCAACAACACCAGCAAAACAGGGAAUACUAAUUACAAGAAUGACAUUGGAGAUUUAGAAAUAUGCUGAGAUUACUCAGAGUGUAACAUUGAGUCAGUUAUAUACUCCAGAACCACACACCUCAGGUGCCAUCGCUUGAGGUGCAUGUUACAUUUUAACCAGUGUGUCAAAUGUGUAACAUCUAUGAAAUACCAGAUGAGUCAGUCAACUUUCUUAAACAUUCAAAAUAACUUUAAACACAACCACUGUAAAUGUGUUAAAGUGAUAUGGAUAACUAAUGCAGGGUUAGUAGCAUGGAGGUAGAGCACCGCCAUGUGGCAGGAGUCAGUACUGUCAGACAGACAGCCACCUCAGCUGCAGUCUACAGUCCUACUACUGACUGUACUGUUGAAGCCUUCUCUUUUCAUUUUCAUCUAAAAAAAAACCCAUUACAUUUACAAACACUCUAACAAACAUACUCGACCCACAAAAGCCAGACUUGCUGGAGGACAUUUUUGUCUCACAUAACUCAAUCAGAAUUUUAAAACAUAUAAUUUGUUUUAAUCAUAAUUUUACCCCAUCUCAGUCUGACCAAGCCUUUAAUUUGUGGAAGGAUAAAGGCCUGACAAACAGUUCAGAUCUGUACAUAAAUAAUCAUAUUGCAUCCUUUAUUGCGCUGAGAGAAACUUGCUCUCUUCCUCAAACCCAUUUUUCCCUGUUAUUUACAAGGCAGACAUUUUCUGGCACUCCCGAGAGGUGCACGUGCAGCUCGGCACAACACUGUAACUUUAUUGACACCUAUGAACAAUGGCACCACCAGGGGGUGGCCAGGGGUGGCCAUGGACCCCCUAUAAAUUUGCUGGCCACCCCACCAGGGUGCCAGUGGGGACCAGGCGUUAGUGCGACCUCCCAUAGCUCCAACUACACAUAACUCCACUAAUCUGACCAUGCAGGUCUAUGGCGAGUUUUAUCGUUUUAUUCCCAUAAUGUUGACCGCCCAUUAAUCCGACCAUUUUAAUGCCAUUAUUCCGACUGUCGGAUUUCAUACCCAGUAGUCCAACCGCCUGUUAGUCGGACCACAGCACUUCCAACACGAAGCAGUCUGUGCAUUUCUCCCUCACUGCGCCGGCACGGACUGUGAGGACAGUUGCGUUUAUCUCAUCAACGGGAAAUCACAU